rnacentral:rRNA from 1 species
AUGAGUCUUCACUUAAAAGAUGCUAGAGUUAUGCUCUUUGGCGUCGCCCAAGGAUGGGGCCGCGACCGAUCAGGUUGUUGGUGAGGUAAUGGCUCACCAAGCCUUUUACCGGUGCGGGCCGUGGGAGCGGGAGCCCGGAGAUGGGCACUGAGACAAGGGCCCAGGCCCUACGGGGCGCAGCAGUCGCGAAAACUUUGCAAUAAGCGAAAGCUUGACAGGGCUAUCCCGAGUGCCAUCCGCUGAGGAAGGCUUUUACCCAGUCUAGAACGCUGGGGGAAUAAGGAGAGGGCAAGUCUGGUGUCAGCCGCCGCGGUAAUACCAGUUCUCCGAGUGGUGUGGAUGUUUAUUGGGCCUAAAGCAUCCGUAGCUGGCUAGGUUAGUCCCCUGUUAAAUCCACCGAAUUAAUCGUUGGAUUGCGGGGGAUACUGCUUGGCUAGGGGACGAGAGAGGCAGACGGUAUUUCCGGGGUAGGGGUGAAAUCCUAUAAUCCCGGGAAGACCACCAGUGGCGAAGGCUGUCUGCUAGAACGCGCCCGACGGUGAGGGAUGAAAGCUGGGGGAGCGAACCGGAUUAGAUACCCGGGUAGUCCCAGCUGUAAACGAUGCAGGCUAGGUGUUUGGACGGCCACGUGCCGUUCUAGUGCCGCAGGGAAGCUGUUA